CUGUGGGUAAUUCCGAAGUCAGUACGAAUUUGUAUCUAUAGAGGACUAUGAAAAUAAUCAGAAUGGAUGAAUUAAAAUAAUGAAUAAAAGAAGAUUUCGAAUAGUACGAACAACCUUUAGCGACGUCCAGUUUUCUGUAAGAAAACACAAAAUCUUCUCAAGUAACUAUGCAAGCUCAUCAAGAUAGGAGUAUGGACAUGAAAAUGCAAUCCAGAUCACAGAAUUUUGUAUUGGGAAGGACAAAACCAAAAAAAAGAGAUAAUGUUUGCAACAUUUGCAAAAGAAAUAUUCCAUUAAAAAGAAAGAUAAAUUGGACUGACUCUGGAAUUUGUUGGGAUAGAAGUUCAGUUUCUAUUGGAUUGAUUAAUAGGCGAGAGUAACUAUGUAAGUUUACCAACAAACGAGUAUAGACAUGGAUAUGCAAUCCAGAUUUCAUGGCUAGGUGAAGCGGAGAAUUUUGUACUGGGAAGGACAACACCAGAAAAAAAUGAUGUUGACUGCAACGUUUGCAAAAAAAAAUAUUCCAAUUGAAAGAAAGAUGAAUUGGACUGAAUUUGGAAUUUAUAGAGAUAGAAGUUCAAUUUCUUCUGGAUUAGGUAGCAGUAAGGGUUCUGUGUUGUCUGCAGGAUCGAUCAGUAGCAGUAAAGAGUCUGUUUCGUGUUCAGGAUGGAAAAGUAGCAGUGGAAUAUGCAGUGAAACUGGAUAUGAAGCAACUAAAACAGACUCUGAGGCAAAGAAUGUGGUAGAAAAUGAUGAAGGGAAUGAAAAAAAUAACAAGGCUAUCAAUGCUAUAUGAAGCAACCACAACAGACUCUGAGGAACAGAAAUUAGUAGAAAAUAAUGUAGGGAAUGAAGAGAAUAACAAGGCUCAUCAAAAUAUUCCGGCGGAGGAUGUAAUCCUGGAAACAGAUGAAGAACAGAAAAGAGAAAAAAGUAAGUUAAUCAUCAGUAGCGAGGAAAGCACUAACGACACUCAUUUUUCGAAAACAUCGCCAGAUUCUUUGGUCAUGUGGUUAGAAGAGAUGGGCUCGAAAAACUUUGCCACAGUCAAUAAGGAUGGCUGAGGAUCGAGAUGAAUGGAGACGGACAGUACAGAAGGUUUCACGAAAUCACGAUGCUUGAAAUAAGCUACCGACUCUGAAGAAGAAUAAUAUAUUUGCAGGUUAACCCAAGCCCGUCAUUUGCGCAUUCUUUGAUGGACUUUCGUGAAAAUGUGUUAGGAGUGCUUUUGAGUUGGUAAAACCAUACUUUUUGGAACGCUCCAUUCUUCUCUCCAUAUGGUCAUCAUUCACAUCCGAUGAAUUUUGCUUUUCUUUAAAAAUUAAAGAACUUAAGCAACGUCGAGUUUUCUGCAAGAUCACACAAAAUCUUCUCAAGUAACAAAGCAAGCUUAUCAAGAUACGAGUAUACAUAUGCAAUCCUAAUUCCAUGGCUUGUUGAAGCGAGGAAUUUUGUACUGGAAAAGACAAAACCAAAAAAAAAAGAAGUUGACUGAAACGUUUGCAAAAAAAAUAUUCCAACUGAAAGAAAGGUAAAUUGGACUGAAUUUAAAAUUUGUAGAGAGAGAAGUUCAGUUUCUUCUGGAUAAGGUAGUAGUAAGAGUUCUGUAUUGUCUGCAGAAUCGAUUAGUAGUUGUAACGAAUACGUACCGUCUGCAAGACCGAUCAGUAGCAGUGAAGAGUCUGUUCCUUGUUCAGGAUCAAGUAACAGCAGUGGAAUAUGCAGUGCAACUGGAUAUAAAGCAACUACAACAGACUCUGAGGAACAGAAUUUGGUAGAAAAUGAUGAAGGGAAUAAAAAAAAUAACAAGGCUCAUCAAAAUAUUCUGGCUGAGGAUGUAAUCCUGGAAACAGAUGAAGACCAGAAUAGAUGAAUUGAAGAAAGUGAGUCAAUCAUAA